rnacentral:rRNA from 1 species
AUUGAACGCUGGCGGCAUGCCUAACACAUGCAAGUCGAACGGCAGCACGGGAGCAUGCUCCUGGUGGGGAGUGGCGGACGGGUGAGGAAUACAUAGGAACAUGUACUGAAGUGGGGGAUAGGGAGGAGAAAGGGGGACUAAUGCUGAAAACGAACAACGGAUGAAAGCGGAGGCAGUUGGGGCCUGGAGCUAGAGGGAUGGACGAUGUCGGAUUAGCUAGUUGGUGGGGUAAAGGCCUACCAAGGCGACGAUCAGUAGCUGGUCUGAGAGGACGACCAGCCACACUGGGACUGAGACACGGCCCAGACUCCUACGGGAGGCAGCAGUGGGGAAUUUUGGACAAUGGGCGAAAGCCUGAUCCAGCAAUGCCGCGUGUGUGAAGAAGGCCUUCGGGUUGUAAAGCACUUUUGUCCGGAAAGAAAUCCUUGGCCCUAAUACGGUCGGGGGAUGACGGUACCGGAAGAAUAAGCACCGGCUAACUACGUG